rnacentral:rRNA from 1 species
GUCUAGUGGCGCACGGGUGCGUGACGCGUGGGAAUCUGCCCUUGGGUUCGGGAUAACAGUUGGAAACGACUGCUAAUACCGGAUGACAUCUUCGGAUCAAAGAUUUAUCGCCCAGGGAUGAGCCCGCGUAGGAUUAGCUUGUUGGUGAGGUAAAAGCUCACCAAGGCGACGAUCCUUAGCUGGUCUGAGAGGAUGAUCAGCCACACUGGGACUGAGACACGGCCCAGACUCCUACGGGAGGCAGCAGUGGGGAAUAUUGGACAAUGGGCGAAAGCCUGAUCCAGCAAUGCCGCGUGAGUGAUGAAGGCCUUAGGGUUGUAAAGCUCUUUUACCCGGGAUGAUAAUGACAGUACCGGGAGAAUAAGCCCCGGCUAACUCCGUGCCAGCAGCCGCGGUAAUACGGAGGGGGCUAGCGUUGUUCGGAAUUACUGGGCGUAAAGGGCGCGUAGGCGGUCAGCACAAGUCAGUUGUGAAAUCUCAGGGCUUAACUCGGAAAGGUCAACUGAUA